rnacentral:tRNA from 1 species
GAGGGUAUAGCUCAGUGGUAGAGUUUAUGCUUAGCAUACACGAGGUUCUGGGUUCAAUCCCCAGUACCUCUA